CGAGAGCCCUCAGUAGGAAAUGGUUGGCUGAGCAAACAUUUGUUUCCUGUUUUGCUCUUGAUAAUUUUACAUUUCAGCUCAACCUAGCUUUCCCCUUUUAUAGUUAUGAAAAUCAACACAUUGAGCCAGUGAAGUUUGUUUUCCCUCAUGCAUUUUGAAUGAUGCUAUUAAGAAUACAUGUGAAUAGAUCUUAUAAAAGAUAUUGGAGUUAGAAGUGGUUCCUUGGAAACAAGAAGGUGAGGGAGCUUCGGAAUGGCCUGUGGGACAGCUGGAGAGGCAUAGAUGGAAGGAACACCUGUGGUCAGAGGAAUACACAAUGCCUUUUGUGUAUAGAAAAUACCUAAGAGGCCCUGAAAACUUCUCUCACAUAUGCUACAUAAUUUUUCGCCCCCAAGAACCUGACUGAAGAACCAGCAGUCUGUGCUGGGUCUGAAUUCACCAUUAGCACCCAGGGUAACCUCAGUCCACAGAAUGUAAGAAGACAAGUGAGGCAAUGUCUGCAGUGUCCAGCGGCCAAACCCGCUCUGCUACAGAAGAAAUACCCCAAUUGUCCUUCCUAAGCAAAAAUUGCCACGAUUCCCCAUAAACACGCAGUUGUCCGUUGACUGAUAUAAAUAGACUUUUUAAUACACAACCAGCUGUCUGAGAGAGUUUAUAACUGUUGACCAAAGACACAGUGGGGAAGGGAAAUGGGAGGUUUCCACAUAGCAGGAGAAGGGCUUGUCUGCAGUGAGUGAGCUUGUACACAGAUCUCCCAUUUAAACUAUGUCAGUGUGCGUGGAUUC
rnacentral:lncRNA from 1 species